AGGGCACCACCAGGAGUGGAGCCUGCGGCUUAAUUUGACUCAACACGGGGAAACUUACCCGGCCUGGACACUGGAAGGAUUGACAGAUUGAGAGCUCUUUCUUGAUUCAGUGGGUGGUGGUGCAUGGCCGUUCUUAGUUGGUGGAGCGAUUUGUCUGGUUAAUUCCGAUAACGAACGAGACUCUAGCCUAUUAAAUAGGCUCUCGGCUUUUAAACGCCGGGAGGACUUCUUAGAGGGACAGGUGGCGGUUCAGCCGCACGAAAGAGAGCAAUAACAGGUCUGUGAUGCCCUUUGUUGUCCGGGGCCGCACGCGCGCUACACUGAAGAGAUCAGCGUGCUUUACGUUCCUGCUCCGACCGGAGUGGGGAACCCAGUGAACCUUCUUCGUGAUUGGGAUAGAAGAUUGUAAUUAUUCUUCUUGAACGAGGAAUUCCCAGUAAAUGCGAGUCAUAAGCUCGCGUUGAUUACGUCCCUGCCCUUUGUACGCACCGCCCGUCGCUACUACCGAUUGAACGAUUU
rnacentral:rRNA from 1 species